CAAGAUUCAAUCAUGUUUUAGCUAUGCACGUCAGUAUAGUCGUAGUACCUCAAUGCCUCUCGCUCAAUCAAACUCAUUCAAGGACGAAUGUUCCCAAGGGGGAGAUAUUGUAAGACCCCGUACAGUCCUAGCCCAUUUCAGUCCUAUAGUAUGCCAAAAGAGGUCCCAAACUUAGAAAAUUUAAGCCAAGUGUUGAGACUUAGUAUCAUUUUGGCCUUGAUAUUUUAGUGGUCUCAUUUUUUAUCUUUCCAAACUUAGAU
rnacentral:lncRNA from 1 species